GCUCCCAUGGCGUAGUGGUUACUGCGCUCGCCUUGCACGCGGGAGACCCGGGUUCGAUUCCCGGCGGGGUCA
rfam:Asian citrus Psyllid, Diaphorina citri - Florida Strain, whole genome shotgun sequence.